rfam:Strongylocentrotus purpuratus Contig139964_fixed, whole genome shotgun sequence.
AUAAAAUGAUGAUAACCUCAUGCGCUUCAUUUGAAUGCAGCUGAUGUUUUCUGGCUUUUACCAGUUGUAGGUGUUUUGCUUACAGGUGGUAGGGUUAGAAAACUAGGCUGUAUACAUGAUACAUGAUUGCAUCUGAUUAC